GCCUGGGUGGCUGAGUCGGUUAAGCAUCUGACUUUGGCUCAGGUCAUGAUCUCAGGGUUUGUGGGUUCGAGCCCCACAUCAGCUC
rnacentral:tRNA from 1 species